rnacentral:lncRNA from 1 species
ACAAUUGCAAAAGCACCUAAGGAUUGAAGAAGAAUCCAGGUUACGCGAUAGAAGUGAAAACUCUUCGGAAGGAACUUCUAAAGCGAAUGCUAUAGAGAAAUCUGAACCACCUGGAAAAACCAACAAAAGGAAGCCUUCAAGAAACUUUAACAAGUUCAAGAAGAAGAACAAAGGAGGUUGCUUUGUGUGUGGAAAGUCUGGUCACUAUGCAAAAGACUGUAGACACCGAAAAAGAAACAACUCCGAAGGUAAAAUCAACUCCAUUCAAGAAGAAAAGAUUGUGGCCACCGUGAGCGAGAUAAAUGCAAUUAAGGGAAAGGUUCC